AGCCAGAGCCUUGGAACCUCUGUGUGUCUAGCCUUGGCCUCAGGGAUCUGGUGGCAGUGCCAGAGAAGAUUCAGCUUUUCUAGACCCAGGCAGCUUAGAUGCCGUCUAAGUGAUUCCUUUACCAGCAAGCAACAUUU
rnacentral:snoRNA from 1 species